AUGGAUAACCAUAGGAAACUAUUAUGGGUUUCCAGUUUCUUCGAAAGUGGGAAACUUCAGGACACAAUUCCUGAGGAAUUCCAUAAUUACUUAACUAUACUUUAUCUACAGGCGGAACAGGAAUCUAUGUGUUUUCUAAAUCCAUCAGUCAAUGACAAGCUGCUUAGGGCACCUAGAUGCCUAACAUUGAAGACUAUGACAACUCAGAAUAGCUAUGACCAGAAUGAAGAUGAUUUGGAAGUAUUAUGUAAUCCAAUAAGAAACUUCCUUCAAGUGGAAAGUAUUGUUAUUGGAAAUAAGGAAUGUUCACCCAUCAUCUCUGACCGUAAGUACAGGCCUGCAGUUUGUAUUUGA
rnacentral:rRNA from 1 species